UUUAAAAUUUAGUUAGAAUUUUAUUUUUUAGUUAAAAAGCUAAAAUAUAUUCAAAAGACGAGAAGACCCUAUAAAUCUUGAUUAUUUAGUAAUUUUUAGUUUAUUUUGAUUUUUUUUAUUAUAAAUUUAUUAAUUAAUUUUAUUGGGGUGAUAUUAAAAUUUAAAUAACUUUUAAUAAUUUUUAUCAUUUAUUUAUGAUUAAGUGAUCCAUUAUUAGUGAUUAGAAAAUUAAGUUACUUUAGGGAUAACAGCGUAAUUUUUUUGGAGAGUUCUUAUCGAUAAAAAAGUUUGCGACCUCGAUGUUGGAUUAAGAUUCAUAUUUAAAUGUAGAAGUUUAAAUAUAAAGUCUGUUCGACUUUUUAUUCUUACAUGAUCUGAGUUCAAACCGGUGUAAGCCAGGUUGGUUUCUAUCUUUGAUUUGGUAAAAUAUUUUAGUACGAAAGGAAUUAAUAUUUAUUUUAAAAAAAUUAAUUUAUGAAUAAAUUUAAUUACUAU
rnacentral:rRNA from 1 species